UGGGGAAUAUUGCACAAUGGGCGCAAGCCUGAUGCAGCAACGCCGCGUGAGGGAUGACGGCCUUCGGGUUGUAAACCUCUUUUAGCAGGGAAGAAGCGAAAGUGACGGUACCUGCAGAAAAAGCGCCGGCUAACUACGUGCCAGCAGCCGCGGUAAUACGUAGGGCGCAAGCGUUAUCCGGAAUUAUUGGGCGUAAAGAGCUCGUAGGCGGUUUGUCGCGUCUGCUGUGAAAUCCCGAGGCUCAACCUCGGGUCUGCAGUGGGUACGGGCAGACUAGAGUGCGGUAGGGGAGAUUGGAAUUCCUGGUGUAGCGGUGGAAUGCGCAGAUAUCAGGAGGAACACCGAUGGCGAAGGCAGAUCUCUGGGCCGUAACUGACGCUGAGGAGCGAAGGGGUGGGGAGCAAACAGGCUUAGAUGACCCUGGUNGUCCACCCCGUAAACGUUGGGAACUAGUUGU
rnacentral:rRNA from 1 species